UACAGAGGUCUCAAGCGUUGUUCGGAUUUAUUGGGCGUAAAGAGCUCGUAGGUGGCUCGGUAAGUCGGGUGUGAAAUUUCGAGGCUCAACCUCGAGACGCCACCUGAUACUGCUGUGGCUAGAGUCCGGUAGGGGAGCGUGGAAUUCCUGGUGUAGCGGUGAAAUGCGCAGAUAUCAGGAGGAACACCAGCGGCGAAGGCGGCGCUCUGGGCCGGUACUGACACUGAGGAGCGAAAGCGUGGGGAGCAAACAGG
rnacentral:rRNA from 1 species